GAUGAAGAACGUAGCGAAAUGCGAUAAGUAAUGUGAAUUGCAGAAUUCAGUGAAUCAUCGAAUCUUUGAACGCACCUUGCACCCUUUGGCAUUCCGAAGGGUAUGCUCGUUUGAGUGUCAUUGUACUCUCACACUCCCAAUUGCUUUGGAUUGGGAGCGGUGGACUUGGGUGUUGCUGCUUGACUGAGGCUCACCUGAAAUAUGUUAGUGCACCUCUUGAUUGGACAUAGUACGGCGUGAUAAGUGUCUUCGCCGGCUCCUCGCAAAGAGGGUGGCCGAUCGGGAGCUCUGUUGCUUCAAACUGUCUUCGGACAAUCUUCUGGCGACUUGACCUCAAAUCGAGUAGGACUACCCGCUGAACUUAAGCAUAUCAAUAACGGAGGA
rnacentral:misc_RNA from 1 species